GACGAACGCUGGCGGCGUGCUUAACACAUGCCAGUCGAACGGAAAGGCCCUGCUUUUGUGGGGUGCUCGAGUGGCGAACGGGUGAGUAACACGUGAGUAACCUGCCCUUGACUUUGGGAUAACUUCAGGAAACUGGGGCUAAUACCGGAUAGGAGCUCCUGCUGCAUGGUGGGGGUUGGAAAGUUUCGGCGGUUGGGGAUGGACUCGCGGCUUAUCAGCUUGUUGGUGGGGUAGUGGCUUACCAAGGCUUUGACGGGUAGCCGGCCUGAGAGGGUGACCGGCCACAUUGGGACUGAGAUACGGCCCAGACUCCUACGGGAGGCAGCAGUGGGGAAUAUUGCACAAUGGGCGGAAGCCUGAUGCAGCAACGCCGCGUGCGGGAUGACGGCCUUCAGGUUGUAAACCGCUUUCGCCUGUGACGAAGCGUGAGUGACAGUAAUAGGUAAAGAAGCACCGGCUAACUACGUG
rnacentral:rRNA from 1 species